rnacentral:rRNA from 1 species
CGCGUAGGCGGAUGGUUAAGUCAAAUGUGAAAUCCCCGAGCUUAACUUGGGAAUUGCAUUCGAAACUGGUUGGCUAGAGUAUGGGAGAGGAUGGUAGAAUUCCAGGUGUAGCGGUGAAAUGCGUAGAGAUCUGGAGGAAUACCGAUGGCGAAGGCAGCCAUCUGGCCUAAUACUGACGCUGAGGUGCGAAAGCAUGGGGAGCAAACAGGAUUAGAUACCCGCGUA